GACGAACGCUGGCGGCGUGCUUAACACAUGCAAGUCGAACGGUAAGGCCCUUCGGGGUACACGAGUGGCGAACGGGUGAGUAACACGUGGGUGAUCUGCCCUGCACUUCGGGAUAAGCCUGGGAAACUGGGUCUAAUACCGGAUAGGACCCUGGGAUGCAUGUCCUGGGGUGGAAAGCUUUUGCGGUGUGGGAUGGGCCCGCGGCCUAUCAGCUUGUUGGUGGGGUGAUGGCCUACCAAGGCGACGACGGGUAGCCGGCCUGAGAGGGUGAACGGCCACACUGGGACUGGGAUAUGGCCCAUACUCCUACGGGAGGCAGCAGUGGGGAAUAUUGCACAAUGGGCGCAAGCCUGAUGCAGCGACGCCGCGUGAGGGAUGACGGCCUUCGGGUUGUAAACCUCUUUCAGCACCGACGAAGCGCAAGUGACGGUAGGUGCAGAAGAAGGACCGGCCAACUACGUGCCAGCAGCCGCCGCCG
rnacentral:rRNA from 1 species